CCUACGGGAGGCAGCAGUGGGGAAUAUUGGGCAAUGGGCGCAAGCCUGACCCAGCAACGCCGCGUGAAGGAAGAAGGCUUUCGGGUUGUAAACUUCUUUUCUCAGGGACGAAGAAAGUUACGGUACCUGAGGAAUAAGUCUCGGCUAACUACGUGCCAGCAGCCGCGGUAAUACGUAGGUGGCAAGCGUUAUCCGGAUUUAUUGGGUGUAAAGGGCGGGUAGGCGGGAGCGCAAGUCAGAUGUGAAAAUUCAGGGCUCAACCCUGAGCCUGCAUUUGAAACUGUGUUUCUUGAGUGAAGGAGAGGCAAUCGGAAGUCGGGGUGUAGCGGUGAAAUGCGUAGAUAUACGGAGGAACACCAGUGGCGAAGGCGGAUUGCUGGACAGUAACUGACGCUGAGGCGCGAAAGCGUGGGGAGCAAACAGGAUUAGAUACCCCUGUAGUC
rnacentral:rRNA from 1 species